AUGGUGUUGCGCGAUCAUCAAGGACAGAUCAUAUUUGCAGCUUACAGAGUCUUGUUCCACUGCAACAACGCUCUGGAGGCUGAACUUCACGCACUCAUUCAGGGUAUGGCCUUGGCCAUCCAGCACUCGGAGGCCCCAGUCGUCGUUCGGUCCGAUUCUUCUGAAGCCUUGGCGAGUCUCUCUAGCGAUGCUCUAACUCGCUCGGCUUACGGUCAUUUGGUUCUAGAGAUUAAGGAGUUGAUGAGUAAUAGGGAGUUUGUACCUCUGAAAAUUUGUCGUUCUCAGAAAAGAGUUGCCGAUCGUUUGGCCAACUAUAGCCGGGCCGAGCGGACUACAGCGGUGUGGUUGCGCUCGGUUCCACCUUGUAUUGAGGAUUUGUGGCCUCUCGACUGUAACACUGUGACAUCUUGA
rnacentral:rRNA from 1 species